AGAAUCAACGCUGGCGGCGUGCCUAACACAUGCAAGUCGCACGAGAAAGGGGAGCAAUCCCUGAGUAAAGUGGCGCACGGGUGAGUAACACGUGAAUCAUCUACCUCCGAGUGGGGAAUAACCUAGAGAAAUCUGGGCUAAUACCGCAUAACACUUACGAGUCAAAGUCAGCAAUGCGCUUGGAGAGGAGUUCGCGGCCGAUUAGUUAGUUGGCGGGUAAUGGCCCACCAAGACGAUGAUCGGUA
rnacentral:rRNA from 1 species